CCCUGGCUGCCAGCGGGGCCGCCUCGGUGUCGAUGCCUGCGUUAUUUUGCCCGCUCCGCCCCCGCCGGAGAAACCUCAUCCUACUUAUAGUGGCGACCGCAAGCGCCGAGCAGUCAUGAGUCAGCCGUGCCCAGCAUCGCACGGGGAGCGCCCGAAUCCGAGCCCCUUCCCCACCCCGAGGCUUGGCGCCAUGGUUCCUUUUGCCAAGUGGAGAGCUGUGAUUCCUGCAAAUUAUCCCGGUGCCAGCAGCCAGUGCUUCUGAGCGAGACCCCAAAUGUCAAUGGACAUGAAAUGCACUUGGGAGAACCGGUAAAUGAAUAAGCCGCAUUCUGCAAGCCCGGGUUACUCAGCCGGGCUCGGACGGAAAAACAUAAAGAUGAAAGACAGCUGAUAAAAAGGAAAGUUGGGGAAUAAAUGAUUCACAAUAGGGGCCGUGAGUGAGAUU
rnacentral:lncRNA from 1 species